UACGAAGGGGGCUAGCGUUGUUCGGAAUCACUGGGCGUAAAGCGCACGUAGGCGGAUCUUUAAGUCAGAGGUGAAAUCCCAAGGCUCAACCUUGGAACUGCCUUUGAUACUGGGGAUCUUGAGUCCGGGAGAGGUGAGUGGAACUGCGAGUGUAGAGGUGAAAUUCGUAGAUAUUCGCAAGAACACCAGUGGCGAAGGCGCUCACUGGCCCGGUACUGACGCUGAGGCGCGAAAGCCAGGGGAGCGAACGGG
rnacentral:rRNA from 1 species